CUUACAACGUCCUCGCAACCACCAAACAACGCUUAGUCCACUAUAAGGAGAAUAAUCCUGGAAUGUUUUCUUCAAAAACCUUAAUUUCUUUUCGACUGACGAAAGACAUGAACAUCUUGGAUGACAUGGGGUAUCUCUGCAGGCCCUGCACGCACAAACAUAAGAAGAUCAGUUUAAUAACCGGACACCAGAUCACCUUUCAGGGCCUGUCCGCCCCUCCGGGCCUCCUCCUCUCCGGUUUCGCUCAGAUCGGCGUCGAACCAGCCGCAGAAUCGGUUCUCCUGGUUCCAGCAGCUCUCGCCGUGGCGGAUCAGCACCAGCUUAUACGCGGCCAUAUCGCGCGGUCUGCACGCAAACGCUCUCAAACGCAGCGGGAAUGUUCGUAAAUAACGGAGACACGGCCCCGGGACACGGAUGAGGGAUGCUGACACGGUGAGCGGUAAAAUCGCAGCGCUUCUUUUGGAGGUCGUCGCU